rnacentral:rRNA from 1 species
AACUGAAACAUCUUAGUACCCGGAGGAAGAGAAAGAAAAUUCGAUUCCCUUAGUAGCGGCGAGCGAAACGGGAAGAGCCCAAACCAACAAGCUUGCUUGUUGGGGUUGUAGGACACUCUAUACGGAGUUACAAAGGACGACAUUAGACGAAUCAUCUGGAAAGAUGAAUCAAAGAAGGUAAUAAUCCUGUAGUCGAAAAUGUUGUCUCUCUUGAGUGGAUCCUGAGUACGACGGAGCACGUGAAAUUCCGUCGGAAUCUGGGAGGACCAUCUCCUAAGGCUAAAUACUCUCUAGUGACCGAUAGUGAACCAGUACCGUGAGGGAAAGGUGAAAAGCACCCCGGAAGGGGAGUGAAAUAGAACCUGAAACCGUGUGCUUACAAGUAGUCAGAGCCCGUUAAUGGGUGAUGGCGUGCCUUUUGUAGAAUGAACCGGCGAGUUACGAUUUGAUGCAAGGUUAAGCAGUAAAUGUGGAGCCGUAGCGAAAGCGAGUCUGAAUAGGGCGUUUAGUAUUUGGUCGUAGACCCGAAACCAGGUGAUCUACCCUUGGUCAGGUUGAAGUUCAGGUA